rnacentral:lncRNA from 1 species
GUCCCGCCUUUGAACUGACUCUUGGCCGUCCCUUUUUCGCAACCUCGCACGUCUGAAGGAGGAGAGCCGUGCAAAAACUAUUGAUUCCUCUUAUCAUCCGGAAAAAAAUAUUACGUACAUACUGUGAGCUGCGGUUAACACUCCAGUGACGUAACCAAAUGAUGCUCCACAUAUGGAAAGGUGCGAGGUGAGAAUGUCCUGAAGUCU